UACUGUCCAAGCGUAGAGUAGGUGUGUGGGGCUUGUCGGGCAGCUACCGCGAGAUCCGAGCGGGCGGCGGUGGGACAGCGAGGGGACGGGACAGCGGCCGGCGGAGUGAGGGGGCGGGGCAGCGGCGGGGGGGCGGGGCAGCGGCCGGGAGGGGGCGGUGGGACAGCGGCCGGGGCAGCGAGGGGGCGGGUAAGCGACCCCGAGUUGGACACGCAGAUGCACGGCGCCUGCGACCUGCUGGACCUGCGGCCGGGCGGGAGGUGCCCGAGGAGGUGGCGGCGCGAGCAGAGCGGCCGCCGGAGGAGGAGGAGGAGGAUGCGGUGGUCGCGGUUGUGGUGGGGGUGGCGGCUGGGGCCGUCGCGGUCCCAGGGGCCACGCGAGUACGGGUGGUGGGGCUGCGGGUGGAGGCGGCCGGAAGCGGAGAGGUUCAGGCCGUCGUUCAGGAAGUUCACCCCACGACUUGUGUCCUCCUCCGACCAGGAGGGACUGACGUGGUCGAGACGGGGUAGAGGAAGGACACUCCUCUUUUCCGACUACGAUCAUCGAUGAGAAAAGGGAACGAGACUAGAAGUAGAGAUGGUACGGCGUUCAUAUCGAACGAGACGAAAGGGAGACAAACAACCUAAGGUAGACGACCACACCGAGGUCGCAACGAGGCCACUCAGUCUACGGGAGAGAAGGGAACGGUGUAGGGAGGAAGGAAUAGAAGAAAUGGUGCAGGGGAGAUUGAGAGACUAGGCAGCAGCGAGCUCGUGGUCCUACGGUACCUGUCCUACCGGUGAAGGAGGGGACGGGCCUGCGGUACCUCACCGAUCUAGACCGGUACCUGCUGCUACGGGUCACUGUUCCCUGCCGGACCGGACGGUGGGACUUCGGUAUAGUUCCGCCUACUUGUUCCUCCUCUGGUGGCAGCCUCCCCUCGAUCCUCCCCAGACU
rnacentral:rRNA from 1 species